rnacentral:lncRNA from 1 species
UAAGUCCUAAAGAAUGGCUCUCUUUGGCACCUGGUGUCAAGGCAUUAUUUAGAUGUUGUAGCCAAGUGCUUCACAAGCUUUAAAGUGCACAUGAAUCUUGUUAACAUGCAGAUCUGGUUCAGUGGGUCUGGGGUGGGACCUCAGAGUCUGCAUUCCUAACAAGAUCCUGGGAGAUACCAAUGCUGCUCGUGCGCAAACCACGCUCACAGGGAAAGCAAGCGGCCAGCAAACAGCUCACUUGUGCUGUUUUGUCAAGAAUGGACCUCAGAGGUUGUGUUUGAGAAGCUUGGCACACUGUUUCAGCACAUACUCUUAUUAUCUCCCCACAAGUUUGGAAAUAGAUUUUGUGAUUGCACCUGACAAACACGGAGAUGAGGAUGCAGAAGAGAAAGUUGAGCACCUGUCAAGAGAGAACAGCCUCCAGUACCCAGGGAGAAGGGAUGCCACUGAGGUCGAACAGAAUUUUAGCAACACAGCUCUGACCAGAAUGCUAGUCUCCUGGCUCCCGAUUCAGUGCCAUUUCUUCCUCACUGUGCUGUCAUGGUUGGCAAACAGGGAAGCUUUAGGAGACACCCCUGUGACAGAAGGACAAGCUCCGCACUGUGGCAGAGCUCCACUCCACCUCGGCCACCCCAGCCCCGCCCCCCAACCUUGACUCACAGCGCGAAGCUCUUUGCAUCCUUGGACAGUUUCUACUUGCAUCCGCAUCGAUUAAACCUUGAUCUCAUUUAUUAUCUCAGGAAAUGGUCUCAAGGUCACAGGGCUGGAAAUUUAAUUAUGGUAGCAGUAUAUUAAGUGGCACAUUUAAAGAUGCUGAAUUGUAGUAAUUAAUUUUUUGGAUGGUGGUCUCGAAGGAAAGGGUUUUCUCCACACUGGGUGUUCAGCAUCCAUCACGGCCAUUGAGCUUGGCAGCUGUCUUUUAGCUUUAAACUGCCUCGUUAUUCAUCUUUUAUGACUAGCCUUUAAAAACAGUAGGAGCCGAGAUCCCCUUUUAUUGUAAUAUAUGUGUGCAGUGGGAACGGAGCCAUACUUCACCUUUGCUAUAAAACAUGAACCGAGGAUGCCAGCAGCUACCUGAGCUGGCCUCUAAAUUGAGACAACAAUUACCCUUCGCUGACAUCUAGUGUCAAGGCAUGAGAUAUAGCCAGCGCGCUGAAUCCAUUGGCCUGGAAAACUUACACUUCCCCGGUGAUAAAGCCUGUCUCACCCACAAGGAUCUAGCCCAGCUGUAAGAUGGGAAGCAGAGGGAUGAACUUGGCACUGGCUGUUGACUUUGCCGGGGCGCCAGGUUAUCGAAUGGGGCACCCGUCUGCCAAAGCCUUAAAGAGCUUGUAAUGUUUAAUGAGGGGACAGUCAUUAAAUGUGUUUGGUUCAAAUAUUAGGCUCG